rnacentral:rRNA from 1 species
UUGGGAAUCUUGGACAAUGGGGGAAACCCUGAUCCAGCCAUGCCGCGUGAGUGAUGAAGGCCUUCGGGUUGUAAAACUCUUUCGACGGGGACGAUAAUGACGGUACCCGUAGAAGAAGCUCCGGCUAACUUCGUGCCAGCAGCCGCGGUAAUACGAAGGGGGCUAGCGUUGUUCGGAAUUACUGGGCGUAAAGCGCGCGCAGGCGGCUAUCCAAGUCAGUGGUGAAAGCCCGGAGCUCAACUCCGGAACUGCCAUUGAAACUGUUUAGCUUGAGGACGAGAGAGGUGAGUGGAAUUCCCAGUGGAGAGGUGAAAUUCGUAGAUAUUGGGAAGAACACCAGUGGCGAAGGCGGCUCACUGGCUCGUAUCUGACGCUCAGGCGCGAUAGCGUGGGGAUCAAACA